AGAGAGAGACAUGCGCGCAUAUCAAUAAGCGGAGGAAAAGAAACUAACAAGGAUUCCCCUAGUAACGGCGAGUGAAGCGGGAAGAGCUCAAAUUUGAAAUCUUAAAGGGUUUCCCUUUACGAAUUGUAGUUUAAAGAAGUGUUUUCUGUUGAAGGUUUCGGUAAAAGUUCUUUGGAAUAGGACAUCAUAGAGGGUGAGAAUCCCGUAUUUGACCUUUAUUUUCAACUUUGUGAUACACUUUCAAAGAGUCGGAUUGUUUGGGAAUGCAGUCCAAAAUGGGUGGUAAAUUUCAUCUAAAGCUAAAUAUUGGCGAGAGACCGAUAGCGAACAAGUACCGUGAGGGAAAGAUGAAAAGAACUUUGAAAAGAGAGUUAAACAGUACGUGAAAUUGUCAAAAGGGAAGCGUUUGACACCAGUGUUGUUUUUCUGAAAAUCAAUUAAAGAACUGUUUAUGCUAAGUUGUUUAGACUUUAUCAGCUAACUGUUUAGUUUUGAGCUUUUCUUUAAUGCACUUUUCAGUUAACAAGUCAACAUCAAUUUCUUUUGCUGUAAAAAAGCUUGAGGAAGGUGGCUUGAGAUUCGUCUUAAGUGUUUAUAGCCUCUUGCCUAUGCAGUCGGAGAGAUUGAGGUCUGCAGCGUAGAUCCUUCGGGGCUAAAUGCAUUUGUGCUAAGUUAUAGCAUUUUAUAGACAACUUGUUGACUAUGAUUUGUCUUGUAGCUUACUCGCUUAUGUUAUUUUACCUACGCUUAGGAUGUUGAGCGCAUGUCUCUCUCU
rnacentral:rRNA from 1 species